UUCUUCGGAGAGUUUGAUCCUGGCUCAGGAUGAACGCUGGCGGCGUGCCUAAUACAUGCAAGUCGAGCGAACUGAUUAGAAGCUUGCUUCUAUGACGUUAGCGGCGGACGGGUGAGUAACACGUGGGCAACCUGCCUGUAAGACUGGGAUAACUUCGGGAAACCGAAGCUAAUACCGGAUAGGAUCUUCUCCUUCAUGGGAGAUGAUUGAAAGAUGGUUUCGGCUAUCACUUACA
rnacentral:rRNA from 1 species